GAGAACAACAGGGAUUACCUCAGUAACGGCGAGUGAAGCGGUAACAGCUCAAAUUUGAAAUCUGGCUCUUUCAGGGUCCGAGUUGUAAUUUGUAGACGAUGCUUUGGGUGUGGUGCCGGUCUAAGUUCCUUGGAACAGGACGUCAUAGAGGGUGAGAAUCCCGUAUGUGAUCGGUCGCCUUCGCCCGUGUAAAGCUCGUUCGACGAGUCGAGUUGUUUGGGAAUGCAGCUCAAAAUGGGUGGUAAAUUUCAUCUAAAGCUAAAUAUUGGCCAGAGACCGAUAGCGCACAAGUAGAGUGAUCGAAAGAUGAAAAGCACUUUGGAAAGAGAGUUAAACAGUACGUGAAAUUGUUGAAAGGGAAGCGCUUGCAACCAGACUUGGGCUGUCGCAAUCAUCCGGGGCUCGCCCCGGUGCACUUGUGGCGGCACAGGCCAGCAUCAGUUUCGGUGGUGGGAUAAAGGCCUUGGGAAUGUAGCUUCUUUCGGGGAGUGUUAUAGCCCUCGGUGCAAUGCCGCCUACCGGGACUGAGGAACGCGCUUCGGCGAGGAUGCUGGCGUAAUGGUUGUAAGCGACCCGUCUUGAAACACGGACCAAGGAGUCUAACAUCUAUGCGAGUGUUUGGGUGUCAAACCCAUACGCGUAAUGAAAGUGAACGGAGGUGAGAACCCGUUAGGGUGCAUCAUCGACCGAUCCUGAUGUCUUCGGAUGGAUUUGAGUAAGAGCAUAGCUGUUGGGACCCGAAAGAUGGUGAACUAUGCCUAAAUAGGGUGAAGCCAGAGGAAACUCUGGUGGAGGCUCGCAGCGGUUCUGACGUGCAAAUCGAUCGUCAAAUUUGGGUAUAGGGGCGAAAGACUAAUCGAACCAUCUA
rnacentral:rRNA from 1 species